AUUCUAACUCGGACUCUAUCCUUCUUUUGCGUUUGGGAUCAUGUCCGGUACUGUGCGGGAUGAUCGUUGGUCGUAUUGUGAAUAAACAUCGCAAGACUUUGGGUGUGAGCGCGUGUUCUUCUUCAAGGUCAGGUUGUGCCACAAUCGAGUUAUGGAAUUCUUAGAUUUACUGAUACCUUAUGGUUUAACAGGAUUAAUAGGCGAAUGAUCCAGUCAAACUACUUAUCUGGUGUAGCUGCAGCAGACCAUAACGAUGACGCUAAUACUAGUGGAAAGCAACGCCCAGUGCCAAGACUGAAUACCCUAUGAGGAUUCGAAGUGCCCCGAGUUCUAGUCACCUAGACAACCAGAACUUUUAGAACUUAACUUGUAGACGCUAUGGGCAACCUACUAUUCUAUUGUUUAAUGAUCUGACUUUUGUUAUGUAAUAGUAUUUACGUGUAUGAAGACCAGCGUAAUAUAUAUGUAUCUGUAAACCUU